rnacentral:snRNA from 1 species
AACCACUUCGGUGGUCCUCCGUAAAAAUUGGAACGAUACAGAGAAGAUUAGCAUGGCCCCUGCGCAAGGAUGACACGCAUAAAUCGAGAAGUAUCGCACUUUUUG